UACGGGGGGAGCAAGCGUUGUUCGGAUUUACUGGGCGUAAAGGGCGCGUAGGCGGCCAGCACAAGUCAGUUGUGAAAUCUCCGGGCUUAACUCGGAAAGGUCAACUGAUACUGUGCGGCUAGAGUGCAGAAGGGGCAACUGGAAUUCUCGGUGUAGCGGUGAAAUGCGUAGAUAUCGAGAGGAACACCUGCGGCGAAGGCGGGUUGCUGGGCUGACACUGACGCUGAGGGCACGAAAGCGUGGGGAGCAAACAGG
rnacentral:rRNA from 1 species